GACGAACGCUGGCGGCGCGCCUAACACAUGCAAGUCGAACGAGCGAGAGAGAGCUUGCUUUCUCGAGCGAGUGGCGAACGGGUGAGUAACGCGUGAGGAACCUGCCUCAAAGAGGGGGACAACAGUUGGAAACGACUGCUAAUACCGCAUAAGCCCACGACCCGGCAUCGGGUAGAGGGAAAAGGAGCAAUCCGCUUUGAGAUGGCCUCGCGUCCGAUUAGCUAGUUGGUGAGGUAACGGCCCACCAAGGCGACGAUCGGUAGCCGGACUGAGAGGUUGAACGGCCACAGUGGGACUGAGACACGGCCCAGACUCCUACGGGAGGCAGCAGUGGGGAAUAUUGCACAAUGGGGGAAACCCUGAUGCAGCGACGCCGCGUGGAGGAAGAAGGUCUUCGGAUUGUAAACUCCUGUUGUUGAGGAAGAUAAUGACGGUACUCAACAAGGAAGUGACGGCUAACUACGUA
rnacentral:rRNA from 1 species